CUGAAAACCUCAUCAUGGAAGUUCAGGAAGAGCUGAUGUCCCACUGCAGCCAGGUGGAAGAGAGCACCAGGUGUACAUCUCCUGUGUUCUAAGGACUUCAGAAAAAUUGCUGCUUGUCUUCCCUCCCCCACGAGGCUGAAUCCCAGCACCCCAGAUUGUCAUGACUGCCUGGGAUUGGUGACAUCUCCAGUGAAAUGUGUUGGAGCAUCAAAACAGAGUGGGAGAAGCACAGCCUGGCUCUGGGAGCCAAAAAUAGUUUUCCUCUCGCUUUGAAUUCUCUCAGACUGCUGCAGUCUCACUUCCCCUGGCACAGCAGAAACGUGAUGGUAUUUACAGAGCACAAGCACUGGGACUCAG